CGUUGUAUAGUUAUACUAUAUAACGUUAUACGUUAUAUCGUAAUAGUAUGUGACGUUAUACGUUAUAACGUGAUACUAUAUAACGUUUGACGUUAUAUCGUAAUACUAUAUAACGUUACACGUUAUAUCAUAAUAGUAUAUAACGUUAAACGUUAUAUCGUAAUAGUAUGUGACGUUAUAUGUUCUAACGUGAUACUAUAUAACGUUAUACGUUAUAACGUAAUACUAUAUAACGUAAUACGUUUUAACGUAUUACUAUAUAACGUUAUGCGUUAUAACGUAAUACUAUAUAUCUUUACAUGUUGUAUAGUUAUAGUAUAUAACGUUACACGUUAUAUC
rnacentral:misc_RNA from 1 species